GAUGAACGCUAGCGGGAGGCUUAAUACAUGCAAGUCGAGGGGCAGCAUGGGACUUCGGUCCUGAUGGCGACCGGCGCACGGGUGAGUAACGCGUACACGACCUACCUUUAAGUGGGGCAUAGCCUCGGGAAACUGAGAUUAAUACCCCAUAGUAUUGCAAUAACUAAAAGUUGCAAUUAAAGCUACGGCGCUUAAAGAUGGGUGUGCGUCCCAUUAGCUAGUUGGUAAGGUAACGGCUUACCAAGGCGACGAUGGGUAGGGGGCGUGAGAGCGUGACCCCCCACACGGGUACUGAGACACGGACCCGACUCCUACGGGAGGCAGCAGUAAGGAAUAUUGGACAAUGGGCGCAAGCCUGAUCCAGCCAUCCCGCGUGCAGGAUGACGGCCCUCUGGGUUGUAAACUGCUUUUGUCAGGGAAGAAACCCUCGGAUUCAUCCGGGGCUGACGGUACCUGAAGAAUAAGCACCGGCUAACUCCG
rnacentral:rRNA from 1 species